GUGCAGGCAAAAACAAAGCACAAAUCCAGAGCAGGAGCUGUGGCAUCAGGAUGGGAAUUUACAGCCGUUUGAAACCCCUGCAGUCUCUUCCAGGUCCUGGGAUCCUCCUGUGACAUUGCUUGGAGAUACGCCCUGCUGGGAGGGCUUGCAUCAUGAAGGCGAGAUUUGGAGACUGAGGCCCCAAAGUGCAGGGAACCAGUGUCUGGAUGGGCGGGUAGGAACUUAGGCAGCGGAAUCAUUUCCUCAGCCAUGCAGGGGUGGGGUUGCCGGGAACCCAGGGGUGUUGCCUGGCCCUACUUGGUUGGGUGGCAGGGGCAGUGAGGAGGUGAGAUCCAGCUGGCUCCAUAGGAAUGUUUUCCUCACCUCUGGAAAGGGGCCCAUCUAGCUAGCCUGGAUGGUAGAUGGCAGGAUAUCUGAAGAUAUUGGGCCCGGUUUUGGUUUUUCUCCCCUCCUCAUCUUCUUUUUUUCUUAAAACAUAAUGAGGCACCCUUGCCCGGUGUAAUUUGUCCGGUCCCAGGAACACCGUGUGCACAGCUCCAGGGCUCUAUAUCAUGAGCGUGAGACACCCAGUAGCCCUGGCCUAACUUUAUAAUCUGGAAGCGUGUUGAGCAGAUAAGGUUGCUGAUAGGUUUUGUUUGACCUGCCAGUAUUUGCAGGAAAUUGAGCUAAAAUUUACAAAUUGUGAGAGUUUGCAUAAAAUUUCUUAUUUCUGGUUUCUUUUAAAAAAUUGGAAGUCCUCACAAGACUGGGCCUCUUAUUCCUGCAGGCAAUGCAAACUGGAGCUGAGCAGUGGCUGCUGCUCUAGACUACGGGG
rnacentral:lncRNA from 1 species